rnacentral:rRNA from 1 species
UGGCGGACGGGUGAGUAACGCGUGGGUAACCUGCCUCAUACAGGGGGAUAACAGUUAGAAAUGGCUGCUAAUACCGCAUAAGACCACAGCACCGCAUGGUGCAGGGGUAAAAACUCCGGUGGUAUGAGAUGGACCCGCGUCUGAUUAGCUAGUUGGGGGGUAACGGCCUACCAAGGCGACGAUCAGUAGCCGACCUGAGAGGGUGACCGGCCACAUUGGGACUGAGACACGGCCCAA